GUCCUCUCAAAGUCCUUUAUUGUACAAUGUCAUCUGUUUCGGGGUCGGGGAAGGACUAACAGGUACACAGCGAAAUAGAUAAAUAUGCCAAGCUCUUUUCUUUUUAAAUCAGGCAUUUAUAAACAAGAAAGCAUACAUUAAUUACAUAAAAAUAGUUUCCGAGUAGCAGAGUAAGCAUCAUACUGUCGUUAGCAGCAGCGUGGGGCACGGGUGACACUGGCUGGACCCUCCCAGAGCCGAAGUGGGGAAGGGCUGCC
rnacentral:lncRNA from 1 species